CUCUGAGGACAAGAACCCAGAGUACCGCAAGCGCGUGUCUGUGGAGCUCACCAACUCCCUCUUCAAGCAUGACCCAGUUGCCUGGGAGGCCGCCCAGAGCAUGAUCCCCAUCAACGAGCCUUACGGCGAGGGUGAGUGUGCGCGGGGUUCCUGGGGAGCCGGGCGGGGCUGGUGGGUGCGAGGCGGGAAAGGCACCCGCAGGGCCGCGGGGCAGCGGCAAGCACUGUGGAGUGCGGGGGGCGGUGGGCAGAGGAGGACGGGGCGAGGGCUGGGAGGAGGCCCGCAGAGCCUGAAGGGGCCCUCUCUGCCCCGCAGACAUGGACCCCACCUACCGCCGCAUGUACUCGAGUGACGUGCCCCUGGAACCCCUGGACAUGGAAGGCGACUUCCCCAUGGACACCUACAGUGACGGGCUCAGGCCCCCCUACUCCACCGCGGACCACAUGCUCGCCUAGUGCAGUUUCUCCACUGAGAGCCUCUCCGUGCGGGCGAUGGAGUGAGACAGAAAAGUGCCUGAGCCGGGGAGGGCGCCGGCCGGCGACUUCCUGCCGACCCCCGCGCCUCCAGGCUCUCCUCCAUAAGGGCUUUCCUGGGAUGAUGAUCUUCUCCUGCUUUUCUGUUCUGGGCCAUGGGUCCAGGGCCCAGCAACCCCUUCCCACUCCCUGGCCUGGCCGCUGAAGCUUUAAGACCCGAGACACCCCGUUUCCCACCCAGAAAAUCCCCGGCUGCCCUCUCCAGCUGCCUGGGCCCUGAAGGGCUGCGAUCCUUUUCUGCGUCUAAUUUUCUCACUAAACUGUACCUGACCAAACUGCCGUGAGCCCCCUGGGUGUCCAGGUCCCGGACGGAAGGCCCCAGCCCCCCAGAUCCAAAGCUCCUCUUGAGAGGCUCGGACCUUCCAGGGGAGGUGGGGUGGAGCCGAGGAGACCGGUCUCCUGCUCCAGGACACUGCCCGCCUCUCUCCAGGACCCUAAGUCGGCUUUGGUGCUUCCUGGGGAGCUCGGGGGACAGCUCCCUCUCACCCCGAGCCACCCACACGAAUGACCAGCUGACCCGAGAAGUGCCCUUGGCUGACCCCUCUGGUGUGCGGUGAGGGGCUUUCUCUUCCCCUUCCUGUUUCAAACGCCCCCCACCGCCUCCUGCACACUUGGGUGGGGGGCCCGGGGGCGGUCCCAGUGGAGUUUUAUUAUUAUCGCUUUAUGUUUUUGGUUAUUGGUUGUUUUGUAUAGACCAAAGCAAAGAAAAUAAAUGUCUCACACAGGUCGGUCCGAGGCUGUUUAGGGGAGAGGUGGGGGCACGAGGGGGUUCCUUGGGGCCCUGAGGCCAGCUCGCACAUCCUUACACCUGCCUUGUGUUGGGAAAAGACAGAGGGGAAUGUAGGACAAAGGGAGUUUGAAGAUAGGAGUCGAUUUAUUUAAAUGCGCAUUUGUAGGAGACCAGCUCGGAACCUUAGGAGGCUGGGAGAGGUGAGGGGAUGACUGAAAGGGACACCCCCUUAGGGCCUUCAGCCUCGUUCUUCUCUCACAGGCACCCUCCCUGGUGGCCUCUCCACCCCCCCACACCCCCCACCCGCCUACUCCCCGCUGCUCAAGCACCGCCAGCGGCAGCUGGCCGCCUCCAGGCUGUCCCUGCCUUCUGUUGACUCAGGCUGUGCCCUCUGCCUGAGUGCCUCCCCCUGCGUGACUCAGCUGCAGCUCAGGGGCACUUCCUCGAGUACCUGCACCUCCAUUCCUGCCAGGCUGAGCCGGCCGCCCCUUGCGCAUCCCGUGGUGCCCAGCGCCCUCCUCACGGGUGUAAAGGUCGCCCAGCCCCGCCUCUGGGAGGGCUAGGUUCUGUGCCCCGGCAAGCCUGAGAACUUGUCGCGGAACCUGCUCUGGCCUGGACCCUGCUGUGCCUUCUAUCCUGCGGGAGCUCCGGCUAUGGAGGGAGGCACGGCCUUGUGCGUGCGGGGUGGGUGGGGCUGGUGGUCGUGCUGGGGGCUGGGGCAGGGAGUCCAGUUAGGAGCAGUUGUAAGGUCCAGGCAAGCGGUGAUGAGACCCUGAGCUGAGUGACAGGGCGGGGAGGAGGGGGGCUCUUCAGAUCACAGGGUGAGGGGCACUUAGAGGUGUUUUAACAAUUUAAUACCUUAUCUAUACAGACCCUUGGGGCACUGGCAGGAAAUACUCAAGCAAUUUGAGGAGAGUCUGGUAAAGGGGCGAUUUACCAAGGUGUGUGGCCAGGUGUAGAACUAAUUACUGUGCCCCCCACUGGCUGAGGCAGAGGGUGGCAGUGUACAUACUGGGACAAGACAGGAGGGAGGUGCAGCCAGCCCUGCCAAGCCACUCCUACCAGUGCUCCCCAUUGGCCAAACCUAAAUGGAGCUAGAGAGUCAAGGAGCCCAUUAGUGUGGUCCAUUCAAGGGGUUUCUGGCUACCCAGAGCAGGGUGGAGAGGUUCUGGAGAGACAAAGGAAAGAUAUCUGCACUCCGCUCCCCCAUCUUCCAAAAAAAGGGCUUGAGGCAGUUUACAAGAAAGGAUAGUUCUUUUAAGCCUCAUAACAAGCAGUGUGGACAAGAGGAAGGAGAGGGAAGCAAAACACCAAUGUUAAAGGUUAAUCCUUGCUGUGAUUGAGCUUCAUUUAGGCUCUGAGAUUCCUGGCAGCCUAGCCAAAAAGGGAAACCUAAGACAAGUUCAUCUCCAUGGAAAGGAGUGAGUUGACCACUUGUUCAGGAGAGGAGCGCCUUUGUGUGGGAG
ensembl:lincRNA